CUGGCGGCAGGCCUAACACAUGCAAGUCGAACGGUAACAGGAAGCAGCUUGCUGCUUCGCUGACGAGUGGCGGACGGGUGAGUAAUGUCUGGGAAACUGCCUGAUGGAGGGGGAUAACUACUGGAAACGGUGGCUAAUACCGCAUAACGUCGCAAGACCAAAGAGGGGGACCUUCGGGCCUCUUGCCAUCAGAUGUGCCCAGAUGGGAUUAGCUUGUUGGUGAGGUAACGGCUCACCAAGGCGACGAUCCCUAGCUGGUCUGAGAGGAUGACCAGCCACACUGGAACUGAGACACGGUCCAGACUCCUACGGGAGGCAGCAGUGGGGAAUAUUGCACAAUGGGCGCAAGCCUGAUGCAGCCAUGCCGCGUGUAUGAAGAAGGCCUUCGGGUUGUAAAGUACUUUCAGCGGGGAGGAAGGUGUUGUGGUUAAUAACCGCAGCAAUUGACGUUACCCGCAGAAGAAGCACCGGCUAACUCCGUGCCAGCAGCCGCGGUAAUACGGAGGGUGCAAGCGUUAAUCGGAAUUACUGGGCGUAAAGCGCACGCAGGCGGUCUGUCAAGUCGGAUGUGAAAUCCCCGGGCUCAACCUGGGAACUGCAUUCGAAACUGGCAGGCUUGAGUCUUGUAGAGGGGGGUAGAAUUCCAGGUGUAGCGGUGAAAUGCGUAGAGAUCUGGAGGAAUACCGGUGGCGAAGGCGGCCCCCUGGACAAAGACUGACGCUCAGGUGCGAAAGCGUGGGGAGCAAACAGGAUUAGAUACCCUGGUAGUCCACGCCGUAAACGAUGUCUACUUGGAGGUUGUGCCCUUGAGGCGUGGCUUCCGGAGCUAACGCGUUAAGUAGACCGCCUGGGGAGUACGGCCGCAAGGUUAAAACUCAAAUGAAUUGACGGGGGCCCGCACAAGCGGUGGAGCAUGUGGUUUAAUUCGAUGCAACGCGAAGAACCUUACCUGGUCUUGACAUCCACAGAAGAAUCCAGAGAUGGAUUUGUGCCUUCGGGAACUGUGAGACAGGUGCUGCAUGGCUGUCGUCAGCUCGUGUUGUGAAAUGUUGGGUUAAGUCCCGCAACGAGCGCAACCCUUAUCCUUUGUUGCCAGCGGUUAGGCCGGGAACUCAAAGGAGACUGCCAGUGAUAAACUGGAGGAAGGUGGGGAUGACGUCAAGUCAUCAUGGCCCUUACGACCAGGGCUACACACGUGCUACAAUGGCGCAUACAAAGAGAAGCGACCUCGCGAGAGCAAGCGGACCUCAUAAAGUGCGUCGUAGUCCGGAUUGGAGUCUGCAACUCGACUCCAUGAAGUCGGAAUCGCUAGUAAUCGUGGAUCAGAAUGCCACGGUGAAUACGUUCCCGGGCCUUGUACACACCGCCCGUCACACCAUGGGAGUGGGUUGCAAAAGAAGUAGGUAGCUUAACCUUCGGGAGGGCGCUUACCACUUUGUGAUUCAUGACUGGGGUGAAGUCGUAACAAGGUAACCGUAGGGGAACCUGCGGUUGGAUCACCUCCUUACCUUAAAGAAGC
rnacentral:rRNA from 1 species